UACGUAGGGUGCAAGCGUUGUCCGGAAUUAUUGGGCGUAAAGAGCUCGUAGGCGGCUUGUCGCGUCGACUGUGAAAUCCCGCGGCUCAACUGCGGGUCUGCAGUCGAUACGGGCAGGCUAGAGUUCGGUAGGGGAGACUGGGAUUCCUGGUGUAGCGGUGAAAUGUGCAGAUAUCAGGAGGAACACCGGUGGCGAAGGCGGGUCUCUGGGGCCGAUACUGACGCUGAGGAGCGAAAGCGUGGGGAGCGAACAGG
rnacentral:rRNA from 1 species